rnacentral:rRNA from 1 species
GACGAACGCUGGCGGCGCGCCUAACACAUGCAAGUCGAACGAGAAAGGAAGAGCUUGCUCUUCUAAUCGAGUGGCGAACGGGUGAGUAACGCGUGAGGAACCUGCCUCAAAGAGGGGGACAACAGUUGGAAACGACUGCUAAUACCGCAUAAGCCCACGACCCGGCAUCGGGAAGAGGGAAAAGGAGCAAUCCGCUUUGAGAUGGCCUCGCGUCCGAUUAGCUAGUUGGUGAGGUAACGGCCCACCAAGGCGACGAUCGGUAGCCGGACUGAGAGGUUGAACGGCCACAUUGGGACUGAGACACGGCCCAGACUCCUACGGGAGGCAGCAGGUGGGGAAUAUUGCACAAGUGGGGGAAACCCUGAUGCAGCGACGCCGCGUGGAGGAAGAAGGUCUUCGGAUUGUAAACUCCUGUUGUGAGGAAGAUAAUGACGGUACUCAACAAGGAAGUGACGGCUAACUACGUG